GACCAGACUCCUACGGGAGGCAGCAGUGAGGAAUAUUGGUCAAUGGACGCAAGUCUGAACCAGCCAUGCCGCGUGCAGGAAGACGGCUCUAUGAGUUGUAAACUGCUUUUGUACGAGGGUAAACGCAGAUACGUGUAUCUGUCUGAAAGUAUCGUACGAAUAAGGAUCGGCUAACUCCGUGCCAGCAGCCGCGGUAAUACGGAGGAUUCAAGCGUUAUCCGGAUUUAUUGGGUUUAAAGGGUGCGUAGGCGGAGUGUCAAGUCAGCGGUAAAAUUUCGGGGCUCAACCCCGUCGUGCCGUUGAAACUGACGCCCUUGAGUGAGUGAGAAGUAAGCGGAAUGCGUGGUGUAGCGGUGAAAUGCAUAGAUAUCACACAGAACACCGAUUGCGAAGGCAUCUCACGAAUCCGCGAUUGACGCUGAUGCACGAAAGCGUGGGUAUCAAACAGGAUUAGAUACCCGCGUA
rnacentral:rRNA from 1 species